rnacentral:rRNA from 1 species
GUCUAUUGCCAUGCCACCCUGAACAAGCCCGAUCCCGUCUGAUCUCAGAAGCUAAGCAGGGUUGGGCCUGGUUAGUACUUGGAUGGGAGACCACCUAGAAGUGAUUCGAGUAGUAAGAG